rnacentral:rRNA from 1 species
AACGAACGCUGGCGGCGCGCCUAAUACAUGCAAGUCGAGCGAGAAGACGUAGCAAUACGUUUGUAAAGCGGCGAACGGGUGAGGAAUACAUGGGUAACCUACCCUCGAGUGGGGAAUAACUAGCCGAAAGGUUAGCUAAUACCGCGUACGCUCCUUGGACUUCGGUUCAGGGAGGAAAGCGAUACCGUGGGUAUCGCGCUCUUGGAUGGGCUCAUGUCCUAUCAGCUUGUUGGUGAGGUAACGGCUCACCAAGGCUUCGACGGGUAGCUGGUCUGAGAGGACGACCAGCCACACUGGCACUGCGACACGGGCCAGACUCCUACGGGAGGCAGCAGUAAGGAAUAUUGCGCAAUGGGCGAAAGCCUGACGCAGCGACGCCGCGUGGGGGAGUGAAGGGUCUUCGGUA